GUCACAGAGGGCCACACCCAUGCUCUCAGCUUGUUCCCCAGGGUGGUGGUUGCACAUGGUGCGAGUGGACCCACGGGGUGAGGAAGCCCGUAGCAGGGACUCCUGAGCCUGCCUGCCUCGGGAGCUUCAUGGGGUUUGCCGUCACACAGCAUGAAGGUGAUGCAGAGGGAGCCGGGGUUUGAAUCCCAGCUGGGCCACCCUGAGCUGUCGGCUCUCCAUUCCUGACACUGUUCCUCUGAGAAGGGGAACCAAAGCACCUGCCCUGCCGGCUGCUGAGAAGCCUGGACCCAGACAUUUGGAAACCACGUGGCACAGCGACUCUCACUCUGCAGGGAAGCUCCAUUGGAGAAGUUGUUGGUCGCC
rnacentral:lncRNA from 12 species